rnacentral:rRNA from 1 species
AUGGACAAAAUGAAGGACGCGCCGGUACCAGAAGGUGAAGAGCCAAAGUCUGCUGCUGAAAUUGUCGAAGAAGUGCUCAAGACCGAAGUCAAGCAAAGCACAUUCCUCAGGAAUGUUGGGCUCCAGUCAUCUAGGAACAACUCCGGCAAAGCAACUACUGAAGUGGCUGCUCAUGUUCGUGACCUUGAGCAGAAGCUGGAGAGGUCUAAGCUUCAAUCUGAAGUGAUGCAAGAAGAAUUGGCGGCAAUCAAGAUGAAGGCGGAAGAAGCUGAAGCUGCACGCGACAAGGAACUUGAGCUGCUGCGCAAGAAGUCUCGAGAGCAGGAAGAGAAGUUAGCCCACUUGAUGGCUCUCUUUGGAGCUAAGGUAGUUUGA